rnacentral:rRNA from 1 species
UUAGUUGGUGGAGUGAUUUGUCUGGUUAAUUCCGUUAACGAACGAGACCUCAGCCUACUAAAUAGUUACGCGAAUGCUUGUCAUUCGUGGCCAACUUCUUAGAGGGACUAUUGGUAUCUAGCCAAUGGAAGUUUGAGGCAAUAACAGGUCU